GUCGGUAAAACUCGUGCCAGCCACCGCGGUUAUACGAGAGGCUCAAGUUGAUAGACAGCGGCGUAAAGAGUGGUUAGGGAAAACCCAAACUAAAGUCGAACGCUUACACAGCUGUUAUACGCACCCGAGAGUAUGAAGCCCAACUACGAAAGUGACUUUAAAACACCUGAACCCACGAAAGCUAAGGAACAAACUGGGAUUAGAUACCCCACUAUG
rnacentral:rRNA from 1 species